AACGAACGCUGGCGGCAUGCCUAACACAUGCAAGUCGAACGAGAUCUUCGGGUCUAGUGACGCACGGGUGCGUAACGCGUGGGAAUCUGCCCUUUGGUUCGGAAUAACAGUUGGAAACGACUGCUAAUACCGGAUGAUGACGAAAGUCCAAAGAUUUGUCGCCAGAGGAUGAGCCCGCGUAGGAUUAGCUAGUUGGUGUGGUAAAGGCGCACCAAGGCGACGAUCCUUAGCUGGUCUGAGAGGAUGAUCAGCCACACUGGGGCUGAGACACGGCCCAGACUCCUACGGGAGGCAGCAGUGGGGAAUAUUGGACAAUGGGCGAAAGCCUGAUCCAGCAAUGCCGCGUGAGUGAUGAAGGCCUUAGGGUUGUAAAGCUCUUUUACCCGGGAUGAUAAUGACAGUACCGGGAGAAUAAGCUCCGGCUAACUCCGUGCCAGCCGCCGCCGUAA
rnacentral:rRNA from 1 species